GUGAGGAAUAUUGCGCAAUGGAGGCAACUCUGACGCAGCCAUGCCGCGUGCAGGAAGAAGGCGCUACGCGUUGUAAACUGCUUUUAACCGGGAAGAAACCCCAGGACGUGUCCUGGGUUGACGGUACCGGAGGAAUAAGCACCGGCUAACUUCGUGCCAGCAGCCGCGGUAAUACGAAGGGUGCAAGCGUUAUCCGGAUUCAUGGGGUUUAAAGGGUGCGUAGGCGGAGCGUUAAGUCAGUGGUGAAAUCCUGCAGCUUAACUGUAGACUUGCCAUGGAUACUGGCGCUCUUGAGUGCGCUUGAAGUGGGCGGAAUGUGCCGUGUAGCGGUGAAAUGCUUAGAUAUGGCACAGAACACCAAUUGCGAAGGCAGCUCACUAAGGCGAUACUGACGCUGAGGCACGAAAGCGUGGGGAUCGAACAGGAUUAGAAACCCUUGUAGUCC
rnacentral:rRNA from 1 species